rnacentral:rRNA from 1 species
UACGAAGGGGGGCUAGCGUUGCUCGGAAUUACUGGGCGUAAAGCGCAUGUAGGCGGCAGCGCAAGUCGGGCGUGAAAAUCCCCACGGCUCAACCGUGGAAGUGCACUCGAAACUGCGCAGCUAGAGUCCUGGAGAGGAAGGUGGAAUGCUUGGUGUAGAGGUGAAAUUCGUAGAUAUCAAGCGGAACACCGGUGGCGAAGGCGGCCUUCUGGACAGUGACUGACGCUGAGAUGCGAAAGCGUGGGGGAGCAAACAGG